CCAGAGGUCACUGCUAUCGGUGUUCGACUAAGCCAUGCGAGUCAAAUGUUCUUCGUGAACAUGGCGUACUGCUCAGUAACACGUGGAUAACCUGCCCUUAGGUCUGGCAUAACCCCGGGAAACUGGGGAUAAUUCCGGAUAGAUUAUAGAUGCUGGAAUGCCCUGUAAUCCAAAGCUAUUGUGCCUAAGGAUGGGUCUGCGGUCUAUCAGGUUGUAGUGGGUGUAAUGUACCUACUAGCCUACGACGGAUACGGGUUGUGGGAGCAAGAGCCCGGAGAUGGAUUCUGAGACAUGAAUCCAGGCCCUACGGGGCGCAGCAGGCGCGAAAACUUUACAAUGCGGGAAACCGCGAUAAG
rnacentral:rRNA from 1 species